GGAUCCAGGUGGCAUAAUGGUUUGAGUGUUGGACUAUAACUCUGGAGACCAGGGUUCGAAUCCCCACUUGGCCA